rnacentral:lncRNA from 1 species
AUGAUUAGUCUGUGGACAUUUUUCCCUCCAAAUUUUCAGCUCCUUAUGUGCAAACUAAACAAAUGGAAGGCUUCUGCUAAGCUUCGACUCUCACAAAACUCAGCUCCUUGCCUCCAACGAAUCAACAGCCACAAACCCCGUGCAGGCUGGGAAGAAAGAAGAGGGCUAGGUACUGUACAAACACAGGACAGCUGCACAGAUAUUAUCACAGAACAACAGGCUGAAUGGAUUUUGAAAGAUCAGAGUUUAUCAUGCUGCCCCAAGGCAAGAUUAACUAUCCCUGUGUUAUUCCUAAAAGAUGUUUGUAUAAGUCGUUCUUAA